AUAAGCUGUCUGCAUUCUCAUAUCAUCCUGGUUGAAAUUAGAGGGGUAGGGGCCAUGAAGAGAAGGAUGGUAGCUAGUACCCAGUUGGCCAUGUAAUCUGAUCUUCUCUAAUUGAGCAACUCCAAGGCCUCUCUGGGGUUGCUUAGGCUUGUCUGAGUUACUCUUCUUGCCUUUCCUUGAAGAUCCACCUCUUUCAUUUCCCAAGUUUGGCUCUCCAAAAUAA
rnacentral:misc_RNA from 1 species